rnacentral:rRNA from 1 species
UACGUAGGGGGCAAGCGUUGUCCGGAAUCAUUGGGCGUAAAGCGCGUGUAGGCGGCUUGGCAAGUCGGUUGUGAAAGCCCGGGGCCCAACCCCGGAACUGCAUCCGAAACUGCCUGGCUAGAGUCCCGGAGAGGAAGGCAGAAUUCCCGGUGUAGGGGUGAAAUCCGUAGAUAUCGGGAGGAAUACCAGCGGCGAAGGCGGCCUUCUGGACGGUGACUGACGCUGAGACGCGAAAGCGUGGGGAGCAAACAGG